rnacentral:misc_RNA from 1 species
ACGCGAAUUAACGCGAGUCCCAACACCAAGCUGUGCUUGAGGGUUGAAAUGACGCUCGAACAGGCAUGCCCGCCAGAAUACUGGCGGGCGCAAUGUGCGUUCAAAGAUUCGAUGAUUCACUGAAUUCUGCAAUUCACAUUACUUAUCGCAUUUUGCUGCGUUCUUCAUCGAUGCCAGAACCAAGAGAUCCGUUGUUGAAAGUUUUGAUUUAUUUAUGGUUUUACUCAGAAGUUACAUAUAGAAACAGAGUUUAGGGGUCCUCUGGCGGGCCGUCCCGUUUUACCGGGAGCGGGCUGAUCCGCCGAGGCAACAAGUGGUAUGUUCACAGG